CGCAUCUAGUACAUCAUUCUCCGGUGCAAUCAAACGUUAGAAUACAGUAACUUUUGCAUAGCAGGGUUGCAAAGCGAUCUUCACAAUGUGCGAGGUGUCACACAACAACCAUUACCAGGACGACAUUAAGAUUAGUUUGAAACUAACUCGCCACUUUUUAUCCUUAAUCGGUGUUUGGCCAAAUUUUGAUGGAAAAAUGUCUGCUUGUAAGAAAAUUAAAAAGUUCCUGCGAAUUUCUAUCUUACACUCUUUUCUUUAUUUCGCUCUGGUGCCCGGUACUUUUUAUUGGAUAUAUGAAAAGAGAACUCGCGUUCGACUUCGUUUGAUUCCGCUUAUGCUCUACGGUCUCAUGAGUUUAAUCAAAUAUUAUGUUUUGAUAAAUCAUGAAGAUCAAAUCAGACGCUGUGUAAAAUUCCUCGAAGAGGAUUGGAAGAAGGUCGACAACGCGGGCUCAAGGAACAUCAUGUUAAAAUUCGCGAAGAUGGGAAAGCGUUUGACUAUGAUUAGCGCAAUCUUUUUAUACAGCAGUGGACUUGUGUUUCGAACGUUGAUACCCUUGUCCAGAGGGAAAAUCGUAACCCCACAAAACAUUACGAUCAGACCUUUACCCUAUCCAACUUAUUUCUUUUAUUUCGAUGAUCAAUGCAAUCUGAUCUACUAUGGGUUGGUAUAUGCGUUGCAUUGUGUGUCCGGGAUAAUCACUAUGUCGAUCGCGACAAGUAUAUAUGGUCUCAUCAUCGUCUUCGUAAUGCAUGCUUGCGGCCAGCUGAAAAUUUUAGUAAAUUUGCUAAAAGAUCUCGUUGAAAAGGAAACACUAGACGAACUCGAGGUGAAUAAGAAACUAGGUAUUGUUGUAGAACAUCAAGUAAAAAUACGCAGCUUUCUGCAGCUGGUGGAGGGUACUCUUCAUGUUAUGAUUUUUAUGGAGAUAUUAGGGAUGAGAAUAACAAUUUGUGUUAUGAGCUACUGCAUAAUAAUGGAAUGGGAAGAUAGUAAUUCAGUAGCAAUGGGCUCUUAUAUUGUUUCGCUUGCAGCUAUGAUAAUAAAUAUGUUUCUGUUCUGUUAUACGGGCGAACAGCUUAUCACACAGGCGGAGAAAGUAGCAACCACAUCUUAUGGACUCGAGUGGUAUCGUCUUCCCGAUACGAAGGCUCACGGAAUCGUCUUAGUGAUGAUUAUAUCUAAUUUACCAUUAAGAAUCACUGCUGGCACACAAAUCGUCCUGUCAUUCUCAACAUUUAGUGAAAUUCUAAAAACAUCUGCUGCAUAUUUUAAUAUACUUCGAAGUAUAACCAUUUAAAUGCGCUUCUGUAAUCGAGAGUAUAAUGGAAGAAUGAGAAUGUGAAAGACGUUCGGAAAAUGAAGGAUUCUAAAAAUAUCUGCUGCAUAUUUUAAUAUACUUCGAAGUAUAUCAGUCUAACCAGUUAAAUGCGCUUCUGUAAUCGAGAGUAUAAUGGAAUGUGAAAGACGUACGGGAAAUGAAAGGUGGAAAUAUUAUAUUAAUCAAUUAUCUAGUCAUCAAAACGUAUGUAACAUUUGAAAAUUGCCAGCCAAAAUGAACUUCUCACGAAAUAAGCAAAAAAUUCAAUCAGUUUAAAAAUAAUAUCUGUAGCUGAUUGUUAAAUUUAAUACCGGAUUAAUAUUUCUAGAGAAUUCAUAUUUGUAGAGAAUAUUACCAGAGUUACUUGGUAUAUAAUAUUUCAGCUUAAAUCUCUACUAUAUAUGGAAGAAAUUAAAUUACUUGAAAGUUACUUUAGAUGUAUAAGCACUGUUUCAGUCUUUUACUCCUGUUGUAGAACUUCUUCUCUGCUGGAAAGUUAACCCUUGAAUGACAGUUGAAAUUUAAAAUAGGAACAAUAUAAUGUAGUAAUUGAAACAUUACUUAUAAAUCACUUGAUAUUUUUAAAAUUUUUAUUCUUUUCCUUAAUUGUGUA